CCUGGAUCACGUGUCCAUCCUCGGGACCCAGGGGUGGGGUUUUCCCGCGCAAUUUACUUGGACCCGGCGAGGAGAGCGUUCCGCACCAGAAAAUCUGGGUGCUGGCCCCGCAAGACGGGACCCAAAGGACUGCUGAGCUGUCAGUGCUGCUGGGGGAGCCCCACUCUCUGCAAGACGAGCAGAGGGGGAGCCCAAGGCCCACGGGCAUGCGUGGCACAGAGUCAGGGCUCAGAUGGGGCAAGGACCUGAGACAUCCCGGUACAUUCCAGAACUUUCCAGAGCGUCCUCCAUCUCCCAGUUCCUGAGACAAAGAUGCUUGCGGAGGGAGAGCAGAUGGAUACGUGGUUGUGGCUGGGGGCUGACACCUCAGGAGGCGGUUGUCCCCCCAGGAGGAGUGUUGCUGGAGUCGUGUAGCUGAGCACUGAAACCACAGCAAGAGGAACCGUGAUGGGGUCAACAGUAAAACAGGAGGAACUUGUACACAGACACGCACACACGGAAGGAUGCCGUGUAUCCUGCCACCGACCGAAAGAACCCUCCGAAUCUCCCUUGGAGUGCAGCCUGGAACAGGUCCUCCCCGAGCACCGGCGGGAAGGAGCACAGCCCUGCCUCAUCUUGGUCUUGGAUGUCCAGCCUGCCGAACGUGAGACAGUCCAUUCCUGGUGAAGCCACUCUGUUUGCAGUGCUUUUAGCGGCCAUCCUAGCGAAGCGCUACAGAGGGAGUGUCACUCCGACGCCCCACCUGCUCUGGCCAGGAGGGCGCCCGCCCCUGCAGAAGCCCCUCGCUGGAAUGUGCAUCCCAGGGCCUCAGUGAGCACCCCGCCCAUCCUCCACCAGCUGGGUGAUCUUCUUGUGGGGAACUCCUUUCUGCCUCCCCUUCAGCUCUGAGCUCCCCCCAGAAUUCCUGAUACGAAUUCCAAAUUGUUUUCUCUUGCUGUCAACCAGAUGUUCCUGCUUGAAGCCAGAACCAAGAGCCACCCCUUUAAGGCAGGUCUCCAGGCGGGGAGGGGGCAUCUCCCCACCCCACCGGGGGCCUGGCUUGCUCCCUCGCGCCCAGACCACCCGCACCACACAGUUGUUCAGCUGAUGUAGACCUGGGGCUUGGCGCAGGGAUGCAGCGGUGAAUGAGGCCGCAGGAAAGAAGAUGAUUUAAGGACUCUGGGCUCAGCGGGGGAGGGGGGACGUGACAGAAGGGAAGGGGCCCUGUAGGAGCACAGAUGUGGGACACGGAACUCGGCGUGGGUGGGGUGGGUAAUCAGCCACGAGGCGGGGGCAGGGCUGCCGGGAGCAGGUGGGAGGGAGCCGGGGUGACCAACCUCCCCGCUUGCCUGGGACUGUCCUGAUUUUAGCAUCGAGCGUCCCUGCUCCUAGGAACCCCGUGUCUGGAGUGGAGAGCAGGGCAGGGGGUGGGGAGAAGUGAGGGGGCAGUGUCACCAGGGGUCCUUCUGCCAGGGAAGAGCGGGCAGAUCUUAGAGCUCAGAGGAAGGGAGGACUUUGGAGAGUCUCCUGCAGGAACAUGAUGUGACAAAGUCCGUCCCUUCUCCGAGGACUCUGUCUGCUGUGAAGUGUGGAGUAAGGGUGGGGGGCGGGAGGCCAUGGCAGGUUAAGCCCCGAGUGGUCAGGGGGGCGAUUUGGGCCGUGAUUCUGAGCCUUUCUGGGCGGGUCGGGGUGGUGGCGACAGACCCACCCCGAGACCCUGAUGAGAGCCGGGGACACUCUCCUCCAAUAGAUCCCCUAUGGCCCCCACAUGCCUCGAUUUCCUCCACGCAGAUGCUGCCGUGGGCAUUUCGGGGGCUUUUGUGAACCCCUGAGAUCCAUCCAUUCCUCUCCUCCUGCCCACCUCCAGCCCAGCUCCUUCAGUCUCCUGCCUCUCCAGUAAAGCCCCCUUUGCUGAAGCUGAUUGCCAGAAGCUCUGCUGAGGCCCUGAUGGGUUGGGAUGGAUUCUCGGGGCCCCUGGACAGAUGGCCUCGCCCCUCGAAGGGAGAGUCACCGUCUCUGACUUGAGCACCAGCAUCCAGAGCCCGGGGAAGAAAUCACGUAUCAAAUGUGGUGUAUGUGAUGACACGGUCUCCAGGAAGCAGAGAGGGAACAGCUAAGAAGACAAGCAGGAAAUAACACGACCCGAGAAGAGCCAGGACUUCCCUGCUUUCUUUUCAACGUGCGGAGCGUUGAUUAUUGAUGGAGCUUGAAGGGGUCUGGUGGAAAGGAGACACAAGUGUUUGGGGCUUCUGGGAGGGUAGGUACCGUAGAGAUGCUGGAUGCUGGGCUGGGGUGGUUUCUGGGGGUCUUCAAACUAAUGUGAAGUAUAAAUCACACCAGUAGAGACCUCGUAAGGUCGGGCGUUAAAGCCCUUGGAAUUUUUACAGCCAGCAGCCGGCGGCCUGGCAUUGAGCAGCAAGGGGGCUCCCGCUGGACAGCAGAUGGGGCCUCUCUGUGCCAAAAUAGUGUCACUGCCUGCAGUGCAAACCCACAUGCUGGGAUGAGGCCUCGCUGGUCUGGCGCUGGGCCCUAGCCUUCGAGCCAAACCCCUGGCUGCCGUCCUGUGUCCUGGACUCUCUAGGGACCCUCGGGCUGGAGCUUCCCUGCCUGAGCAGGGUUCUUGGCUCAGAAGCUGGUCUGGCUGCCCCGCCGUGCUUCUUACCGCCAGCCGAGGGUGAGGUGGGAGGCGGAGGCAUGGAUCCAGCCCAAGUGGUAGCCGAGGACCCAGGCAGCACUCCUGGGUGUAGCCGAGGAGGAACUGGAACCUCAGCCACGGGUCAGAGAGGAGGGAGACCCCAGCUGAUCCAGCCGCAACUGAUCCAGCCUGGAACAGUCCUAGGGAAGGAACCGGCCCUGCUGGUGGAGGCUGCAGCGGGAGGGCGCAGCCAGGCGUCUUGGACAAGUGUCUGACCGCGCCGAGGUGCACCCUCCCCGUUCUUUUUUUUUUAAUUUUUUUUUAUAGUUGAUUUACGCUGUUCUGUCCAUUUCUGCCAUGCAGCAAGGUGACCCAGUUACGUGUACAUGUGUACCUUCUUCACCUCACAUGUUCCUCCAUCGUGUUCACCCCCUUUCUUAAUGCCACUCCCUCCCCGGGCCGUGAUGGGGACUAAACCGCGUACUCCUUUGCUCUGGCUGCCGUAACGGUGACGCAGACUGAGCGGCUGAAACAACAGAGCCGCCUUCACCCAGGCAGGAAGCCUGAGAUCAAGGGUCCGCCGGGUGGGACCCUUCUGCGGCCUCCCUCCUCGGCGUGCAGAGGGCUGGCUUCCGUGACCCCCCUGCUCCCCCCUCUCUCCUCUUAUAAGACCCCGACCACCGUGGAUUCAAAUCCACCCCAGUGACCGCAGUGCAGCCUCCUCCCCUCUUUAAAGACCCCGUCUCCAAAUCCAGUCCCAUGCUGAGAGACUGGAGUGCAGAUUUUAAGAGGAUACUGUUCAGCCCAUGACAACUGAGAUGCCGCAUGGAGACGCCAGACACGGCAAAGGUGGUUAAUCACAGCGGCGGCUGAGAAGGCAAAGCAGAGCCAGUGUUAAACACCCAGCCGAGCUCUGUGCCUUAGCCCUCUCCUCCCCCAGGAAGCCAUCCCGGGCUUCCGGCCUUGAUGCCGCCAGAGAGGGAGGGACUCAGCUCCUGGCCCGGGCACACCUGCGCUGCUGGCUCGGCUCCACUGAGCUGGAUUGUAGUCUUCCUGGAGCUGGGCUGCGCCUCCUUCCAUGUUUUGAUUCCAGUGGGUCAGGGGACACCCCCCAGGCACUCAGGACCGUCUGCUUGGGCAAAGGAACCACCCCUAAGGCCAGAAGCAGUUCUCUGGACACCACUGAGACCCAGAAGCAGGCUCCCUGCAGCCUGAGGGAUCAGAGGCGAGGUGCUGGGUUUCUGGUGAUUUGGCUUCAUCACAAGGGAAGGCAUGACUUAGCGGCAUCUCCUGGCCUUUUCUAGUCAUCUCCCGUUCUCCCUACAGGUUUUUUAAAUCUGCCUGGGCGUUCCCUUUGUGGCUCAGUGGUAACUAACCUGACUAGCAUCCAUGAGGAUGCAGGUUUAGUCCCUGGCCUCACUCAGUGGGUUAAGGGUCUGGUGUUGCCGUGAGCUGUGGUAUAGGUUGCAGAUGUGGCUUAGAUCUUGUUGCUGUGGCUGUGGUGUAGGCUGGCAGCUGCAGCUCUGAUUGGACCCCUACCCCGAGAACCUCCAUAAGCCGCAGUGCAGCCCGAAAAAGAAAAAAUCUGCCUGAACCCAAGACAGGUUUUUCCAUGCCCUUUUCUUCCCUGAAUUGUGACGUAUCCCAAUUGGAAAAUUGUCCCCAGAACCAUCAGCAAGUUGGUGAUAAUAUCUGCAGCAGAAACGCUGCCGCGGCUUUCUCAGUAACACUGCAAAGGUGAUUGGAGUAGCCGGUCCCCAGG
rnacentral:lncRNA from 1 species